GCCGCCGUAGCUCAGCUGGUAGAGCGCCGGCCUUGUACGGUGUUAUAGAACCGAGGUCGCCCAGGAUAGCCGGCGGUCGCGGGUUCGAAUCCCGCCGGCGGCU
rnacentral:tRNA from 1 species